CCUACGGGAGGCAGCAGUGGGGAAUAUUGGGCAAUGGGCGAAAGCCUGACCCAGCAACGCCGCGUGAAGGAAGAAGGCUUUCGGGUUGUAAACGUCUUUUGACAGGGAAGAGCAGAAGACGGUACCUGUCGAAUAAGCCACGGCUAACUACGUGCCAGCAGCCGCGGUAAUACGUAGGGGGCAAGCGGUGUCCGGAUUUACUGGGUGUAAAGGGCGGGUAGCCGGGCUGACAAGUCAGAUGUGAAAUCCGGGGGCUCAACCCCCGAACUGCAUUUGAAACUGUUGGUCUUGAGUAUCGGAGCGGCCGGCGGAAUUCCUCGUGUAGCGGUGAAUUGCGUAGAUCUUAGGAGGUCCCCCAGUGGCGACGGCGGCCUGCUGGACGCCAACUGCCGGUGAGGCGCGAAAGCGUGGGGAGCAAACCGGAUUAGAUACCCCGGUAGUC
rnacentral:rRNA from 1 species